GAUCAUGGCUCAGGAUGAACGCUAGCUACAGGCUUAACACAUGCAAGUCGAGGGGCAGCAUGACCUAGCAAUAGGUUGAUGGCGACCGGCGCACGGGUGAGUAACACGUAUCCAACCUACCGGUUAUUCCGGGAUAGCCUUUCGAAAGAAAGAUUAAUACCGGAUAGUAUAACGAGAAGGCAUCUUUUUGUUAUUAAAGAAUUUCGAUAACCGAUGGGGAUGCGUUCCAUUAGUUUGUUGGCGGGGUAACGCCC
rnacentral:rRNA from 1 species